rnacentral:rRNA from 1 species
GAUGAACGCUGGCGGCGUGCUUAACACAUGCAAGUCGAGCGAUGAAGUUUCCUUCGGGAAAUGGAUUAGCGGCGGACGGGUGAGUAACACGUGGGUAACCUGCCUCAUAGAGUGGAAUAGCCUUCCGAAAGGGAGAUUAAUACCGCAUAACGUUGAAAGAUGGCAUCAUCAUUCAACCAAAGGAGCAAUCCGCUAUGAGAUGGACCCGCGGCGCAUUAGCUAGUUGGUGGGGUAACGGCCUACCAAGGCGACGAUGCGUAGCCGACCUGAGAGGUUGAACGGCCACAUUGGGACUGAGACACGGCCCAG